rnacentral:rRNA from 1 species
UACAGAGGGUGCAAGCGUUAUUCGGAAUUAUUGGGCGUAAAGAGCGCGUAGGCGGUCUGAUAAGUCUGGUGUGAAAUCCCUGGACUCAAUUCAGGCAGCGCAUUGGAUACUGCCAGACUCGAGUACAGGAGAGGUGCGCGGAAUUCCCGGUGUAGAGGAGCAAUUCGUAGAUAUCGGGAGGAACAACAGUGGCGAAGGCGGCUCACUGGACUGUAACUGACGCUGAGGCGCGAAAGCGGGGGGAGCAAACAGG